rnacentral:misc_RNA from 1 species
AAGUCGUAACAAGGUCUCCGUUGGUGAACCAGCGGAGGGAUCAUUACCGAGUUUACAACUCCCAAACCCAAUGUGAACGUUACCAAACUGUUGCCUCGGCGGGAUCUCUGCCCCGGGUGCGUCGCAGCCCCGGACCAAGGCGCCCGCCGGAGGACCAACCAAAACUCUUUUUGUAUACCCCCUCGCGGGUUUUUUAUAAUCUGAGCCUUCUCGGCGCCUCUCGUAGGCGUUUCGAAAAUGAAUCAAAACUUUCAACAACGGAUCUCUUGGUUCUG